UACGUAGGGCGCAAGCGUUGUCCGGAAUUAUUGGGCGUAAAGAGCUCGUAGGCGGCUUGUCACGUCGGGUGUGAAAGCCCGGGGCUUAACCCCCGGGUCUGCAUUCGAUACGGGCUAGCUAGAGUGUGGUAGGGGAGAUCGAAUUCCUGGUGUAGCGGUGAAAUGCGCAGAUAUCAGGAGGAACACCGGUGGCGAAGGCGGAUCUCUGGGCCAUUACUGACGCUGAGGAGCGAAAGCGUGGGGAGCGAACAGG
rnacentral:rRNA from 1 species